rnacentral:rRNA from 1 species
AGGAUAAACGCUGGCGGCGUGCCUAAUACAUGCAAGUCGAGCGGCAGCGCGGUCUUCGGACUGGCGGCGAGCGGCGGACGGCUGAGUAACACGUAGGAACGUACCCCAAAGUGAGGGAUAAGCACCAGAAAUGGUGUCUAAUACCGCAUGUGCUCUAAGGAGUAAAGCUUCGGCGCUUUGGGAACGGCCUACGCAUGAUUAGCUUGUUGGUGAGGUAAUGGCUCACCAAGGCGACGAUCAUUAGCUGGUCUGAGAGGAUGAUCAGCCAGACUGGGACUGAGAACGGCCCAGACUCCUACGGGAGGCAGCAGUAGGGAAUUUUCCACAAUGGGCGAAAGCCUGAUGGAGCAACGCCGCGUGCAGGAUGAAGGCCUUAGGGUUGUAAACUGCUUUUAUGUGUGACGAAUAUGACGGUAGCAUAGUAGAAUAAGGAUCGGCUAACGUCCGUGCCAGCAGCCGCGGU